AUAGCGUAUAUUAAAGUUGUUGCAGUUAAAAAGCUCGUAGUUGAAUUUUGGAUUCUUCCAAUUGGUCCAUCUUUUAGAUGAGUACUGGUUGUGUGGGGUCUAUCCGCCUGGAGAUACGUAAUGUCCUUUAUUGGAUGUUGCGGGUAGUCAGGACCUUUACCUUGAAAAAAUUAGAGUGUUUAAAGCAGGCUUAUGCCGGAAUACAUUAGCAUGGAAUAAUAGAAUAGGACGAAGUUGUUUUAUUUUGUUGGUUUCUAGGACAACCGUAAUGAUUAAUAGGGAUAGUUGGGGGCAUUAGUAUUCAAUUGUCAGAGGUGAAAUUCUUGGAUUUAUUGAAGACUAACUACUG
rnacentral:rRNA from 1 species